CAGAGCAUAACUAAGUUACAGUAUAGUAUCUCCCUUACACUGAGAAGUCAUUCGUGCAAAUCGAAUUGCCCUGA
rnacentral:tRNA from 1 species